AUCAGUGGUUAAUCUGGAUCAUUGUCUCGGUGUCAGUUGGAGUGAUUUUCAUCGUCUCAGUCAUCGUAGGAGCUGUGAUUUACAUCAGGAGGAGGAAAUGUAAAGCUCCAGAAGAAAACGGGCAGGAAAGUGGAGAGAAAACACAGACAAAGGCACAGUUAAACCAAGUUUCUCAAGAUCCUGAUGAAGAAACGUUGAAGAAGGAGGAAGUAACUUACGCGUCUGUCCAAAUCAAACCAACAACCAAAGGGUCUCAGGUCACAGCACAGCUAAACCAAGUUCCUCAGUCUGAUGAAGUGUUAGAUGAAGGAGGAGUGACUUAUGCAUCUGUGGGCAUCAAACCCAAAGGAUCACCCAAACAGCGAGUCCACACUGAGCAGCAGGAGGACGAUUCUGUGAUCUACAGCGCUGUGAAAAAGGCCUGAUGAUGUUUCCACACCUCAUUCACCCACAGCGCAGAUGAGUUUUAUUUACUUAUCAUCAUAAGACCUGGGAUUUUUCCCCCCAAGCAUGAAACUCAUUAUGAUUUAAGACGUGCUAAUAUCAUAAGAAGUGUCAGUGUAUUUACU